rnacentral:rRNA from 1 species
UUUUAUGGAGAGUUUGAUCCUGGCUCAGGACGAACGCUGGCGGCGUGCCUAAUACAUGCAAGUCGAGCGAAUGGAUGGGAGCUUGCUCCCUGAAAUUAGCGGCGGACGGGUGAGUAACACGUGGGCAACCUGCCCUGUAGACUGGGAUAACUUCGGGAAACCGAAGCUAAUACCGGAUAAUCUUUGGAGCCUCAUGGUUCUAAAGUGAAAGUUGGGUUUACCU